UGGACACCAGAAAAAAUCGCAAUACUUUUUAUUCGAAAUGCAUUUUUUACGAAUCAUUAUCGUAGUUAUCGUUUCUGUGACAUUGCUGCAGAUCAACGCUUAUGGUGGCCUAUUCGCUUCAAAAACAAUACAAACUUGUAAAAAGGUGGUAGGAAGGCUACCUCCUUUGUUUUUGGUGGGCAUUAGUAAUAAUGCCACAAAUAAUGGCAAGAUCAAAAGUCCCAUAAAAAUGCCUUAGAAGUGUUGCAAAGACAAUUUGAAAAAGAAUUGAAUAAAAAUUCAGACUGCCACAAAAUAUCACAUAUCUAUAAACAUAUAGUAAAUAUAUCAUUAUCAAAUCUAAUUCCGAGAGAAAGAUGGAGAGAGAGAUAGUUUUUAUUGAACUUUAAUCAACAGAUUGCCAUAUCAAACAUCAUGCACUUACACUGUGUUUAAACAUAUUCUAAGUAUCUUUACAACAAGUCUAUUGGAUUUCAAAAAACAAUGCAGUUUUGUAAUAUUAUCCUUUGCAUUGGACUCUUCGUCUGCUUUGUAGUGUGUAGUGUUCAAAGCAUCCUGCCUCUUCCUCCAAAUGAUCCAAGGAUAUCCAAUUGUGGACCUGUCUGCAAUCUACCUAAACCUAAAAUUGGCGGUCCUCCUUUAAAACAUAAAGGACGCAGAUUGUGAAGUGUUAAUCAUUUAUUAUGUGCUUUUCCUUUUUUCCCAAAGUUAAUAAUAUAUCUAUAAAGUUUUAAAAGAAA